GUCCCCGUGGUAUAGUGGUUAACACGCCGGGCUAGUAAACGGGAGAUGCCAGGUUUGAUUCCUCACCGGGACA
rnacentral:tRNA from 1 species